rnacentral:tRNA from 1 species
UACAAAGUGUCUGAAAAAGUGCUUGAGACAAAAUUUACUAUUUUGGAGUAAAAACUACAUGUUUUCUGUAUAA